GAUGAACGCUAGCGGCAGGCCUAACACAUGCAAGUCGAGGGGUAGUCCCGAUUUAUCGGGAUGAGACCGGCGCACGGGUGCGUAACGCGUAUGCAAUCUACCUUAUACUAAGGGAUAGCCCAGAGAAAUUUGGAUUAAUACCUUAUAGUUAAUAAAAAAGGCAUCUUUUUAAUUAUAAAGAUUAAUUGGUAUAAGAUGAGCAUGCGUCCCAUUAGUUAGUUGGUAAGGUAACGGCUUACCAAGACGAUGAUGGGUAGGGGUCCUGAGAGGGAGAUCCCCCACACUGGUACUGAGACACGGACCAG
rnacentral:rRNA from 1 species